UUUUUUUUCAUUUCUCUUAUCUCGUUAGACGAAAGCAAACCGGUACAGUAUAUUCUGCAUUUGUAUAGUCCGAAGUUUCCCAAUUGAUAUUCUUGUUUCACAUGUAAAAUGAAUGAACAAUUAUAAAAAACGGCAUUCAUUUUGAAAUAUAGUACUGUUUUCUAGAGUGAAAAUGAAGUCACAUAUGUGAGGGUAUAAACGGGACGAACUGAUUAAAAAUAACGGGACCAACAAUUAUAUAUACCAAAACGAAAGAAUAGGUGCUGAAAUAUAAAUAAAAGUAAAAUUUAAUUUAGAUAACAUGGAGAUUUGGUCUAUACCUAUUCUUAUAACCACUCUUAAAUUUUGUUAAGAUUUUGUACACAGGCUGUAUAUCACGGACAGUUUUAUAUUGGUAUGGUAUAUUUUAUAAGUUUUACCUGAGCACACCUGGUUCACUCGCAAUCACGCACGUGAUUCAUUGACCUUGUUCAUUGUGUAUUAAAUUAAACAAGCCUGUCAGGAAGUCGACCGUAGAAUACCCGAAUAUGUCAUUUUUACAAUACCCCAGUAAUUACCGGUAUUAAGCCAUGCUGAUUACAAGAAGACAAGUUUUUGAACGUUGGUCAAGUUAGAUCAAAACCCAAAAUAAUCUAAAAAUAUACGUUAGAAAAAAGCAUUUAAAAAAACUUUUACAGCAAAGAUAAAUCUCAGUUUAUAAUUCCUCCACAAUAAGUAUCUCCGGACUUUUUUUUCACUUUAUUGUGACUACUUUUACAUUAUUAUAGCAUAAAUCCUAUAUAAUACUUGAAACUGCAUCUCGGUGCCAAAAAUGUAAAUUUAGUGACGAGCUAAAACCAAUAAAAUUUAGAAUGGAAAUGAGGAAUGUAUGAUCUUUUGUCAUUUACAGCUUUUCAACCUGACUUCACCAUUGUACGCUGAAUAUUUAACCCUC
rnacentral:lncRNA from 1 species